GAACGCUAGCGACAGGCUUAACACAUGCAAGGUCGAGGGGCAGUCACGGGAGUAGCAAUACAACUGGUGGCGACCGGCGCACGGGUGAGUAACGCGUAUGCAACCUACCUAUCAGAGGGGAAUAACCCGGCGAAAGUCGGACUAAUACCGCAUAAAACAGGGGCACCGCAUGGUGAUAUUUGUUAAAGAAAUUCGCUGAUAGAUGGGCAUGCGUUCCAUUAGGUAGUUGGUGAGGUAACGGCUCACCAAGCCGACGAUGGAUAGGGGAACUGAGAGGUUGGUCCCCCACACUGGUACUGAGACACGGACCAGACUCCUGCGGGAGGCAGCAGUGAGGAAUAUUGGUCAAUGGGCGGGAGCCUGAACCAGCCAAGUCGCGUGAAGGAAGAAGGAUCUAUGGUUCGUAAACUUCUUUUGCAGGGGAAUAAAGUGCAGGACGUGUCCUGUUUUGUAUGUACCCUGAGAAUAAGGAUCGGCUAACUCCGUGCCAGCCGCCGC
rnacentral:rRNA from 1 species